AGAGUUUGAUCCUGGCUCAGGAUGAACGCUGGCGGUCUGCUUAACACAUGCAAGUCGAACGAAUCCCUUCGGGGAUUAGUGGCGGACGGGUGAGUAACGCGUGAGAAUCUGCCAAAAGGACUGGGACAACCACUGGAAACGGUGGCUAAUACCGGAUGAGCCGCAACGUAAAAGAGGAAACUCGCCUUUUGAGGAGCUCGCGUCUGAUUAGCUAGUUGGUGAGGUAAAGGCUCACCAAGGCGGCGAUCAGUAGCUGGUCUGAGAGGAUGAUCAGCCACACUGGGACUGAGACACGGCCCAGACUCCUACGGGAGGCAGCAGUGGGGAAUUUUCCGCAAUGGGCGAAAGCCUGACGGAGCAAGACCGCGUGAGGGAGGAAGGCUCUUGGGUUGUAAACCUCUUUUGUCAGGGAAGAACACAAUGACGGUACCUGAAGAAUCAGCAUCGGCUAACUCCGUGCCAGCAGCCGCGGUAAUACGGAGGAUGCAAGCGUUAUCCGGAAUUAUUGGGCGUAAAGCGUCCGCAGGUGGCACUUCAAGUCUGCUGUCAAAGACCGGGGCUUAACCCUGGAAAGGCAGUGGAAACUGAAGCGCUAGAGUGUGGCAGGGGUAGAGGGAAUUCCCGGUGUAGCGGUGAAAUGCGUAGAGAUCGGGAAGAACAUCGGUGGCGAAAGCGCUCUACUGGACCACAACUGACACUCAGGGACGAAAGCUAGGGGAGCGAAUGGGAUUAGAUACCCCCGUAGUCC
rnacentral:rRNA from 1 species